UUUCCGCCAGAGAACUACAAGUGAAAAACUUAAAACUCAAAGGACUUGACGGUGCCCCACAUCGGCCUAGAGGAGCCUGUCCUGUAAUCGAUACUCCCCGCUCCACCCGACCUUAACUAGUACACAUACCAGCCUAUAUACCGCCGUCGAUCAGUCUACCCCAUGAGGGUCCAACAGUAGACAUAAUAGCCAAAUCGCUAGUACGUCAGGUCAAGGUGUAGCAAAUGUUAAGGAAGAGAUUGGCUACAUUUUUUAUGAUAAAAAACACGAAUAACACCAUGAAACAGUGCAUGAAGGUGAAUUUAGUAGUAAAACAAACAAGAGAGUUUAUUUUAACAACGCCCUGGGACGCGUACACACCGCCC
rnacentral:rRNA from 1 species